rnacentral:rRNA from 1 species
UACGGAGGGUGCAAGCGUUGUCCGGAUUUAUUGGGUUUAAAGGGUGCGUAGGUGGCUUAUUAAGUCAGUGUUUAAAGUCUGCAGCUUAACUGUAGGUAUGGCAUUGAUACUGAUAGGCUUGAGUAAAGUUGAGGUAGGCGGAAUUGAAGGUGUAGCGGUGAAAUGCAUAGAUAUCUUCAAGAACACCGAUUGCGAAGGCAGCUUACUAAGCUUUAACUGACACUGAGGCACGAAAGCGUGGGGAUCAAACAGGAUUAGAUACCCCUGUAGUCC